rnacentral:lncRNA from 1 species
GACGCUAUAGGUGAAAGUUGUAGUAUAGGUAUAAGCGAGGUGCUUAGAUCUAGAUUACUUGUGGAUAUCCUCUGUCUAGCUGGAUCGUGUGGUAGGCCGCGUAGGUGACAGUUACGUUGGUCCUCUGUAGUCCACCUCUCGUUAGGAGGAUGGGUAGGGUUUAUCGGCCUAAGGAUAAGCAUCCUUUGUGGUGUACUCUUAUCACGUGGUUCGUCCCAGACAUAGACAUACCCCUUUGAAGUAGAGAAACCAUAGUUAUCCUCUCUAUUCUGCUACCAUCGCCCAUAUACUAAAUUGCUCUACUCUCUAUUCCCAUAUUAUCAGCCAUUGUUAUCUUACCUUUAAUAUUGUUCUUAUUCAAUUCUACCAUCUUUCCUAUCUACACUUACCUAUCUAUCUUGGUUAAGUUAGAGCGUAGUUGGUUCUCCCGUUUCCCUGUGGAUACGAUAAAACCUUUAACCGGGUAAAAGCUUCAACGGUAUCCGUGCGCUUGCGGAUUAUCUGUGUGCGUAUAAAUACCAUAGUACACUCUAGUGCCAUGCUGGGGAUGACAACCUAGUAUUCAAGUGGUGUUAGCAAGUGUCAACAAGCAUUUUUGGCACCAUUGUCGAGGAAACGGUUGCUAAGUUGACUACGAACUAGCUUAAUCAUUUUCUAGAAAAAAAUAAAAAAAAUAUUUUCCUUUUAUCCUUUGCCUCAUCUCUACUAAUCUUUCUUCUUAUCUAAUCCUUGAUCUCUGGUCUAUCAUGAAUUCAAACAUGUCUAUCUAUGAAUUUCAUAGACCUACGGGCACACAUCUCGAACCACCAAAAUCUUCAAAGCCUAUCAUAGCAUCUAGUUUUGAGAUAGACCCCGAAUACAUAGAAUUUGUUCAAAAACAACCUUUCUCAGAAGAAGGUGAGGAAAACCCAUACACACACCUAAGAGAGUUUUGUCGAGUCUGUGACCUCCUUCGCAUUGAAGGCAUGUCUGAUGAGACCCUUAAAUGGAAGCUCUUUCCGUUCUCUUCAACGGGAAAAGCUAGACAUUGGUGCAAACUCAAAGUAGGGAGUGUUCAUGGAGAUUGGAAGGAGUUACAUAAUAGUUUUCUUUUAAAAUAUUUUCCAAUCUCCAAAGUGGCGGAACUUCGACGUGAGAUUAUUUCUUUUAGACAACUGGAAGAAGAAUCUCUUAGGAAAUCAUGGGAUCGCUUUAUUAACCUUACUCUCACUGGCCCAAAGCUUUCUAUUCUAGAAGAAGUUCUUCUAAUUCACUUUUUUGAGGGCCUUAGUGGGGAAAAUAAGCAAACCUUGAAUACAGCCUCUAGAGGAUCCUUCUAUCACCUACCUGCUAGUGAAGCUUGGAAUUUGAUUGAUUUAUUAAGUGGAAGGUCUCCUAGCUUUUAUAUCCCUGAGAAAGAGACAGAACCAGUUCCUAGACAAGAAGAAGAAGUUUCGAUAGCCAGAUCACAACCACUUCAAUUCCAAACUUUAGCUAUCGAUCCUAAACCAUCAAUACCCCAAAAUUUUCCAAGGGAGGAAGGAAUUCCGACCUUAAAUCUUUCAGAUGAUGAUGGUUUAGACUUCUGGUUCCAUAAGAGACCUUCAAGCAGGGAUAAUUCAAAUCCUCGCCAUAAUGGUUGUCUUAGAGAAUGUCCUGGUUCCUGUUAUGAAGAAGUCGAGGAUGACACAUCAAGUGAAGGAGAGCUAAGCCAUAUUGAAAAUUCUAACACCUCCCCUUUCCUGAUCACAAGUUCUAAAUGGCUAGAAUGUGUAGAAUGGAUGGAUAAGGAAGAAGCCUUAAUGAAUUCUGACUUUGGUUCAAUUUCAAAUGGUGAGUUCUUGACUCCCUUUGAAGAUGGGAUUCAUCCAACUAUAGAAGAGGACAUAAGUGAGACCAAUCCAAGAGAAACUCUGAACAUUCAGAUUGGAGACGAAGAUAACAUUAAUGAGCAUAGAAUUUAUUUCAUAGCCACUUUGUUUACUCCAUGCUCCUAUGCAACAUCUUCCCAAUCUAUUGGUCUCUCCAACAUCACCACAUUUGAGAUCUCCAACCCCCUCUUCCUUUCUAUUUAUAAAAACUUUAAAAGGGCGGUUGUCGAUGCAUAUGUCUAUAAUAAAUAUUACAGAUCUCGUUGAGUUGAUCUUGAUUUAGGUCAGCGUUGGAAGGGAAACCACUUCGCCGACAUAAAUUGAUGGUUUCCCAAGGACAAGCUUGGUGUCCUAAAAUAAGCACUGAUCAGAUCAUAACAAGAGUUUUUAAUUAUUUGCAACAUUACCUUGUGUAUUGAGCAUAUAAGGAUAAUUGUAAAAAUAUUCCUUCGGGUAUUCUUGUCACUAACCUUUCCAGGAUUGGAACAAGAAGAUCAGAUGAAUGACAAGCAAGUACAAGGUAUGUCCAACCAAUCAUCAUGCAACACUGAAUUAAAUUCAUCCAAACUUGAACUCUGCAAAAUUCAAGCUUGGGGGAGUACUUUACAUAAAAACAUCCUUUGCCAUGUUGCUAUGUUGGUUGUCCCUACCUUUAAGACAUGCUCAAUUUGUUAAAUACCAAUCACACUACUUCAUCUCCACUUGAGUAGAUCUCUAUAAAUGUUGUCAUGUUACCUUUGUCUAUUUACUAGUAAAUGUUAGUUUAGAAGUACUGCACAUACUUCUAUUGGUUUUUAAAUUAAGCAUGGUGCUUAGGUUAAACAACCUUCCUUAAUCUGAUUAGACAUGGAGUCUAGUUCGGUUAUUGAACUAAAAACUGCUUGUGUAGACAUUGGUAUAUUUUUGUCGGACUAACCCCUGCAGAAAAACUUUCAAUAUCGAUUUGGGAAGUCCUGAGAUAAACUCACAUCAGAGACGAAGAGAGUGACACAUGAAGUUUAACAAUUUGCACAAGGAGGACAUAACUCAUUCAUCAUAGAGAGAUGAUCCAUGGAGGGUGCCACAAACACGAUGCACAACCACUAAGAAAGAAAAGCUUCCACAAGGUGAUACUACACCAUCACUCUUCAAGCAAGGUAACAUCUUAAGGUACUUGACUAUCACUUUUAUAAGCUUCUCCUUGGUUCUGGCGUUCAUAUAAAUAAAAGAGACAAACAUGUAUGAUUUACAAGUCUAGAUUAACCAACCCAACUGAUUCAACAUGUUUAGUCCUUUAAUCCUUGUUCUUAGUACUACCUCCAUGAUCCCACACUCCUAAUCAUAUGAGCUAAAAUGUUACACAUUCAAUCUUUGAGAGAUAUAAAGAAAAAGACAUAUACAUAGAUAGAUUAUCUUUCCAUAAGGUUGAGCGAUUUGAUCUGACAAAUGUUAUAAGUGCUACACUCAUGAACUUUUCAUCCAUCAACUUUGUCUUGCUCACUAUGCUUAGGGUUAGAGAAGAACAAAUACACUUUAGGUUUUGUUGGUGUUUUCCACCAACAGGACCCAUGCACUUGAUCUCUGCCUUGUCUCUAUGAGCAGGUACACUUUGAGCAAAACACAGAGGAGUUUUAUAACUCUCAGACUCUACCAAGUGAAGGACCUGGAUCUACGAGCACAAACACACUGAGCAGGUUACUGCCAACGCCGCACUUCGAACUGCUGGGCAAACGAAGAACAUGGGUGACACCGUAUCAAGAGGUGCAGACGUCAAUGUCCGCACCUGAAUCAAAUGACGCACCUGAAGAAUGAACACGGUGAGAAGUCUUGUUAAGAAGACUUAAAACAUUGAACCCUCGCCGAAAGGUAAGAUCGGUAGUUAUCCAUAUUUAUCCUUUUUGCAUUUCCUUUUCCCUUUAGUUAUUUACUUUCCUUAAAUAGAUUAUUAGUUAAACAUGCUAUCUUGAAAAGAAAAUAAAAAUGUUAAAAAAUAAUAAGCCCCAUGUGAGUAUACGAGUGGCAUAAAACCCAUAAGUACCAUCACUGUGGUGGCAUAAAAAUAAAAUAAAUAUUUCUUUUCUGCUUUAUAAAAUAAAAAUAUAAAAACAGGGAGUAAUAUUUAUUGAGGAAGCUCAACAUGAUGAAGGCUAGAUAUUUAUGCUAACACUUAAUUAGUUCCACAAGCUUUAUUGUCUAUUUGAGCUCCACAGAAUUUAAGAAUCAAGAAGACUAGCAGAUGGAGGACAUUCUAAUCGCUGUCAGAAUGCUGCUGACUUUCAAAUACACCUCUACUACCUGCUAGCUACAUCAAAAGAAAUUACGUCAAAAUUCAGCUUGGGGGAGAACACCCCCAUUUAUCUCGCUAAGUAUUUCUACCUAUCUUUAUACUUAUAUUAUAUUAGAAUAUUAAAAUACAUAAACUAUGAAAAACCAAAUAAAGAUUUUGUGCUUAUAUAUAUAUAUCUUUUGCUUAGUGUGUUUAAUAAAUAAAGUGGCUAUGCUAAUCUGAAUCUUAAUAAUAAAACUCUAGCAUGGAUAUGAUGAAUAGUUGCUCUGCCUAAUUUGCAAAUUUGAAGUUCUCUCUCAAGUUUAGACAUAACUGUUAUAAUUUAAAGCUUGCUCUAGAUCUAAACUUGUGGGAUGAAAACUUGAUCUGAAAUCUAAGUUGUUAACGGAUAUGAUAUGGGAAGGUUGAGCUGCUGUUUAUCUGUUCCUAGAGAUGCUAGAAUUCUGGAGAAUUUUAUCUUUGAAAAAUCUUUAAAAUAUUGCAUGAUGAGUUCCUGUAUGAUGAGGGUUUAAAUUCCUACCACAGCCAUAUAUACAUGCUUGCUAGACUUUGAGCCACACAUUUACUAUUUACUGCUUAUGAGCAUCGAGUGUGGUCAAGCUGUGUAGACCCUUAGGAGCUUGUCAUGUGGUUAAAUCAAGAUUCACUUGCACGUUCACUCAUAUAUGCUACUUCUACUCCGGAAGUACCAUCCACAUAUAUCCAUCUCUAGAACCACCAAAAAUUAUUCUACUCCUAAUCCGGGAGAGAAUAGCAAAAAAUAUUUCUGUUUUCCCUUGCGAAAUAAAUGCUCAAGUUAUCUUGCUACUACCACUUGCUAUAUUAUCUCAUGAGAUGAGUGCUCUAAAAAAAGGAGAGAAAAAAAUAUACGAGGAAAUAAAAAGGGGCAAGUGCCCGGAACCUCGAAAGAAAGAAAAAGUGAGACGAGAGGUAAAAAUGGACAAGUGUCCGACAGUAGAAUUAGGGGUACAAGAUACCCACCUGAGAGGAAAGAAAAAGAAGAGCAUCUCAUUCUCCUCAUAAAGUUUCAAAAAUCAAGGAAGGUAUGUAUCUCCUCAAAAGAGCAAAAGUAGAAUUAGACUUCCACCAUUGUUAUCACCAUCAUCACCAUACACAAUUCAUUCGCCACACAUACACAUCUUGAUUUGACUUGACUUGUUUCUCAGGAUCCAUGGUUUGACUAUGCAAUAAAUGUCUUGUAAGUAUGUAUUAGCUGUCUCCCACCUAUGAGCUCUAGAUAUUAAAGGCUUAAUAGAGUAGGGUGAGAGAGAAGGCAAUGUCACUAUGCCUUAUACCACAAAUACCACAUAUCUUGAGAGAAGGCAUAUACCAUCACUGCCUUGGUAAGGAUCCAGAAAUACCACAAAAGAGAGAUUUAGAGAGUCAUACAAGGAAUCUCUAAGUUUUAUUUGAAAAUUUGCAAAAACUCCAGAGCUAUAGCUGAUCAAGAAUAAGAGACAUGGCACUUGGCUAGACUGUUCUAUCUUUUAACUACUCAAGACAGAAGUGACAGUUACAAGUCCCAUGGUGAAAGGUAAAGUAAGUAAGUUUUAGUUCUUGACAGUUUACUCUAACUCAGAGAUGAGAUCUUAUUUAAAAGCAUGUGUACCGUCAAAUUUUUAAGAUAUUGCAACAACUUCUGAUCCAUUGCUGAGUCUAUCCUUGCUCAGGGACGAGCAAGAGGUAAGCUUGGGGGAGUUUGUUGACGGUCCUUAAGUAUCAAAUUUAAUUAUCAAAUAAACAAAGAAAAGGAUCUAAAUGAAAUCAACAUCUAGACUUAGGGUUUUAUCUAACAGAAUUCCACGAGUUUUGGUGUUUGUCUAUUUCUGUAGGGGGUUAUCAGGAAAUACGGAAGAAAGACCCACACGUCGGGAUUACAUAGAGAUAUUAACGUGCCGCGCAAUUAUCUUACAUCUAGAAGACUCCAGAAGCCACGGGAAGGAAGCGGAGGCCGAACGGGGCCAGAGGCAAGGCGCCCGCCCUCUUGCCCUGGGCGCCCGCCCUGACUUGGAGCCCAAUCAGGACUCUUUCUCUCGCGAGAUCUCCACCGACCUAAAGGAUCAAGAAUAACCGUUCAAUCAAUGUCGGUUUGAUCCAACGGCCCAGGUUCACUUGAGGGGACUAUAUAACCAGACCCCCUGGCCCCUGGAGGAGGCACCCCUUGAUCAUUAUUCAUUAUUCAUAGACAGAGCAAAAGCUAGGGUUUAGAGAUGAGAGCUCUCCUCUCUUCUCUAAACUAGAGUAGAUCUAGAUAGUAGCAAGAUGGAGAGCGAAGGAGGAUUAGAGGAGAGGCCGGCCUGUCGGUUCUUCCUCCGGUUGUACUUCGUCAUGAUCAAGCUCUAAUCAAGCUUGCUCAUGGGAUGACUCUGGUAAUCUACUUCUAAUUCAUUAUGCAAUUACUAAUUAUGUAUGUUCUGGUUCACAACUCUUUUGAGUAUUCUAAUCUAUAGGACGCUAUAGGUGAGAGUUGUAGUAUAGGUAUAAGCGAGGUGCUUAGAUCUAGAUUACUUGUGGAUAUCCCCUGUCUAGCUGGAUCGUGUGGUAGGCCGCGUAGGUGACAGUUACGUUGGUCCUCUGUAGUCCACCUCUCGUUAGCAGGAUGGGUAGGGUUUAUCGGCCUAAGGAUAAGCAUCCUUUGUGGUGUACUCUUAUCACGUGGUUCGUCCCAGACAUAGACAUACCCUUUUGAAGUAGCGAAACCAUAGUUAUCCUCUCUAUUCUGCUACCAUCGCCCAUAUACUAAAUUGCUCUACUCUCUAUUCCCAUAUUAUCAGCCAUUGUUAUCUUACCUUUAAUAUUGUUCUUAUUCAAUUCUACCAUCUUUCCUAUUUACACUUACCUAUCUAUCUUGGUUAAGUUAGAGCGUAGUUGGUUCUCCCGUUUCCCUAUGGAUACGAUAAAACCUUUAGCCGGGUAAAAGCUUCAACGGUAUCCGUGCGCUUGCGGAUUAUCUGUGUGCGUAUAAAUACCAUAGUACACUCUAGUGCCAUGCUGGGGAUGACAACCUAGUAUUCAAGUGGUGUUAGCAAGUGUCAACAAGCAUUUUUGGCACCGUUGCCAGGGAAACGGUUGCUGAGUUGACUAAGAACUAGCUUAAUCAUUUUCUAGAAAAAAAUAAAAAAAAUAUUUUCCUUUUAUCCUUUGCCUCAUCUUUGCUAAUCUUUCUUCUUAUAUAAUCCUUGAUCUCUGGUCUAUCAUGAAUUCAAACAUGUCUAUCUAUAAAUUUCAUAGACCUACGGGCACACAUCUCGAACCACCAAAAUCUUCAAAGCCUAUCAUAGCAUCUAGUUUUGAGAUAGACCCCGAAUACAUAGAAUUUGUUCAAAAACAACCUUUCUCAGGAGAAGGUGAGGAAAACCCAUACACACACCUAAGAGAGUUUUAUCGAGUCUGUGACCUCCUUCGCAUUGAAGGCAUGUCUGAUGAGACCCUUAAAUGGAAGCUCUUUCCGUUCUCUUUAAUGGGAAAAGCUAGACAUUGAUACAAACUCAAAGUAGGGAGUGUUCAUGGAGAUUGGAAGGAGUUACAUAAUAGUUUUCUUUUAAAAUAUUUUCCAAUCUCCAAAGUGGCGGAACUUCAGCGUGAGAUUAUUUCUUUUAGAACCUUUAACUGGGUAAAAGCUUCAACGGUAUCCGUGCGCUUGCGGAUUAUCUGUGUGCGUAUAAAUACCAUAGUACACUCUAGUGCCA